rnacentral:rRNA from 1 species
UACGAAAGGGGGCUAGCGUUGCUCGGAAUCACUGGGCGUAAAGCGCACGUAGGCGGAUUGUUAAGUCAGGGGUGAAAUCCUGGAGCUCAACUCCAGAACUGCCUUUGAUACUGGCGAUCUCGAGUCCGGGAGAGGUGAGUGGAACUGCGAGUGUAGAGGUGAAAUUCGUAGAUAUUCGCAAGAACACCAGUGGCGAAGGCGGCUCACUGGCCCGGUACUGACGCUGAGGUGCGAAAGCGUGGGGAGCAAGCAGG